rnacentral:rRNA from 1 species
UACAGAGGUCCCAAGCGUUGUUCGGAUUUACUGGGCGUAAAGGGUGCGUAGGUGGCGAGGUAAGUUCGAUGUGAAAUCUCCGAGCUCAACUCGGAAAUGGCAUUGAAUACUAUCCCGCUUGAGGGUCGGAGGGGAGACUGGAAUUCCUGGUGUAGCGGUGAAAUGCGCAGAUAUCAGGAGGAACACCAAUUGCGAAGGCAGCUCGCUGGGACGUAACUGACGCUGAGACGCGAAAGCGUGGGGAGCGAACAGG